rnacentral:other from 1 species
UAACCCCUGCGGUGUCCGUAAGGAAAGCAGGUGUUUGAAAGAACCGAUACCCGUACUCGGGGAAAUCAGGUCUUGAUGGAUCGGAAAUGCCUACUCGAUAGGACUUUCGAACACGAGCAACGAUUACCCACCUGGAAGUAAUGGGUUCUCUUCGAACGCUUUCCUACGGCGCAUGUGGAGGACUG